rnacentral:misc_RNA from 1 species
GGCCAAUCAAAUUUUAAUUUUAUUGCAUAUAGAUAGACUCGAGUGUAUUCUUCUGAUGAUAAGUAUAAACAAGAAAAGCGAGACAAAACGCAGGAAUUUUUUUUGAUUUAAUUGAUGGGCCUUCUCGUGCCUUCGAGAACCGCAAAUUGAGACCUGAUCACUAUUCAUUCACUCUAUUCGAUUUCCAAGUGCCUCGUGUACCAAAUCGUUUCCGUUCAAUUUUUUUUUUAAUUCAAUAAAUACUAUAUGCAUAUACAGCAGGAGGAAGGAAGAUGUAUAGAGCUUGAGUAAUAAUUUUUCUAUUUAGUGAUAAGUAUAAUACCCCUGUAAAGCUGUCUUUCUUGUCGUUACUGUAUUUGGUAGUGUAAGGGCUUAGGACUAUAAGUAAGAGAGUCGCAUACAAGUUUCCUUCACACCCAAGAAGCUAAAGAAAGAAAGAAAGAAAGAAA